UUUCCUGAUGACACUAAGAUGAAGACCAGAGCUGACCACUGAGCAGGAGACAGUUUAUCUGUGGAGAGACUUCCUGAACUCAGAGACUGUUGGAUCUCCUCCACUAGAGAACGAUCAUUCAGUUCAUUCAGACAGUGGAACAGAUUGAUGCUUUUCUCUGCAGACACAUUCUCACUGAUCUUCUCCUUGAUGUACUGAACUGUUUCCUGAUUGGUCUGUGAGCUACUUCCUGUCUGUGUCAGCAGACCUUGUAGGAGUCUCUGAUUGGUCUGCAGUGAAAGUCCCAGGAGGAAACGGAGGAACAAGUCCAGAGGUCCAUUUGGACUCUGUAAGGCCUGGUCAACAGCUCUCUGAUGGAGAGACUUUAUAUUUGAUUUGCUAAAAAAUAUAGAGAAUAUUGUUGAGAAAAAGGAUGGUUGAUUUUCUUCCAUCAGGUUGACUCCAGAGUUGAUGAAGGUCCGAUGAACAUGAAGAGCAGCCAGAAACUCCUGAACACUCAGAUGGACGAAGCAGAACACCUUGUCCUGGUACAGCCCUCUCUCCUCUCUAAAGAUCUGUGUGAACACUCCUGAGUACACUGAGGCUGCUC